GACGAACGCUGGCGGCGUGCUUAACACAUGCAAGUCGAACGGUGAAGCGCCUUCCUUUUUGGUGGGUGUGGAUGAGUGGCGAACGGGUGAGUAACACGUGAGUAACCUGCUCCCUUCUUCUGGAUAACCGCAUGAAAGUGUGGCUAAUACGGGAUAUUCUGGGUCUGUCGCAUGAUGGGUCUGGGAAAGUUAUUGUUUCGGUGGGGGAUGGGCUCGCGGCCUAUCAGCUUGUUGGUGGGGUGAUGGCCUACCAAGGCGGUGACGGGUAGCCGGCCUGAGAGGGUGGACGGUCACACUGGGACGGAGACGCGGCCCAGACUCCUACGGGAGGCAGCAGUGGGGAAUAUUGCACAAGGGGCGCAAGCCUGAUGCAGCGACGCCGCGUGAGGGAUGGAGGCCUUCGGGUUGUGAACCUCUUUCGCCAGUGAAGCAGGCCUGCCGCGUUUGUGGGUGGGUCGACGGUAGCUGGAUAAGAAGCGCCGGCUAACUACGUG
rnacentral:rRNA from 1 species